GAUGAACGCUGGCGGCGUGCCUAAUACAUGCAAGUCGAGCGAACGGACGAGAAGCUUGCUUCUCUGAUGUUAGCGGCGGACGGGUGAGUAACACGUGGAUAACCUACCUAUAAGACUGGGAUAACUUCGGGAAACCGGAGCUAAUACCGGAUAAUAUUUUGAACCGCAUGGUUCAAAAGUGAAAGACGGUCUUGCUGUCACUUAUAGAUGGAUCCGCGCUGCAUUAGCUAGUUGGUAAGGUAACGGCUUACCAAGGCAACGAUGCAUAGCCGACCUGAGAGGGUGAUCGGCCACACUGGAACUGAGAAACGGUCCAGACUCCUAAGGGAGGCAGCAGUAGGGAAUCUUACGAAAUGGGCGAAAGCCUGACGGAGCAACGCCGCGUGAGUGAUGAAGGUCUUCGGAUCGUAAAACUCUGUUAUUAGGGAAGAACAUAUGUGUAAGUAACUGUGCACAGCUUGAAGGUACCUAAUCAGAAAGACACGGCUAACUACGUG
rnacentral:rRNA from 1 species